CGGGAAGAAAGCGCGCCAUCUGAACGGAGACGCGGCCGCGCAAAUUUACUUCUCUGCUGUGAAGAGGAAACUCCACAUCUGUGAGUUGUUUGAUUCAAGAAUUUAAACGUGAAACUACCUGAAGCAAGAAGGCAUUUUCAAGCUCAAAUAUAUCUCUAUUACACUGAAGGAAUUCUCCCCUGACAGCUGGACGCUUUAUGAUUGCUGUGGAUCAGACCAUUGUGAACGAUGGUGUCACAAAUUGUGGUGAUGCCCUUCUGAUGAUGUUUGUGACCUACUACAGUCUCAACAUCAGUUAUCCAUUGGAAGUUGGUGUAACUCUGGAGUUCAUGCAAAGGUGCCUUUUCAAGAUAAAUCCAGACAGAGGGACCAAGGUGGAAAAGAAGCAAUCUAAAAGACAGCAGUCCAUUAAUCCCAAGGUUCUUUCUUUGAUUGCAAACAUUGCAAACUUUGAAUAGAGUAGAAUAGUAAGCUUGCAUUGCCAGUAUAUUUUUCUUUAUGCACAGUUUAAACUGUUCAUUCAGUUAUUAUUUUUU